UGGUUUGUUUCAUCGGGGUGGGGAUACAAAACUCUAAAUUAAAAUGUGCACCUGCCGCCAAACUGAACUGCAGCCUCAUACGUGAAUUCGUGUUGACGUCCUAGUCGUUCGAGGCAACACUCAUAUCUCGGAGGGCUACAGAACACAUAAUCGGCGUCCUUUAUUCAACUAAGCAGAUCAGGGAUUGACUCCUGCCCGAUACCCGGAUAUACAAGCAGGCACGACCUGCUGGAGACAGGUCAACGCUGCACAUUUCAACAGGUAUGCGACGGGCCCAACAUCAGCUGUAUUUUCUGAGGAGGCUGUUUGGCAGUUUGGCAUGUCGCCUCCCGGCUGUAUCACUGUCUGGCAUGGUAGCACUUCUGCUUUGGACUACAAACGUCUGCAGAGAGUGGUAGAGACUGCUGAGAAGAUCACCAGGACUCCACUGCCCUCUCUGCACAGUUUCUAGCACUGCAGAGUCCACAGGAGAGCUGCGUCUAUUUUCAAAGACCCCACCCACCCCUAGCACAGACUAUUCACUCUUCUACCCUCAGGUGGAGGUACAGAAGUGUUAAAUCCAAGACCACCAGACUAAAGAACGUUUAAUCUUCCUCAUAACUGUCCCGACUUUUUACAUUUUGCACAUGCAUAAAAGCACAAAGUUCAGAUUUGCACUAUUUUGUUAUUAUUGUUGCUGCUUUUUCUUAUUUAUGCCAUGUAAAAGUGCUUUACUUUGUAUAUUGUUUUUUUGUUGUAUAUAUUUCUUUAUUACAUAGUUGGCAUUCUGUAGACAGCAAAGGAAGAAUGUCAUUGUACAGAGGAACAUGUUUCUUUCCUGUGCAUAUGACAAUAAACACUUGAAUCUUGAAACUUAUUGUCAUCAACUUGGCAGAUCAAAGACAGAAUGAGAAGCUGA